CAGCUAAGUAGUUUAAAAAAAAUAUUAUUUUUGGGGAAUAAAGAUCUUUUAGUAAAAAGUUUGCUGG
rnacentral:tRNA from 1 species